GGCCUUGGUUGUCACGUGAGAUAACAACAGGAAGUUGACCGUUGCAUCGAGAGGAAUUUUAACGUGCUCUAAAGCAUGCAGAUAUUAAUUUGUGCAUGUUAGGGAAGUUAUUACAGCCGGACAGAUGAGUUUACGAGCUUUGUGGAUUAUUUCUAAUGAAAAAGGCCAAAAGGCAUCAAUACGGUUUUCAAAGAGGUUUUCCACCGUGGAACAUCGCGCUAGAAACCUGGCCGGUUCCUCCUAUGUAGCAGUCCCAGAAGACAGUGACUUCCUGCAGCGCCUGCUCACUGAGCUGGGGCUUUCCAACUCUGACAAGUCCUAUGUAGCUGAUAGAGAUGACUGUCUUUACCGUCCACGGUCACCAGCUGUGGAGCUGCGUUUAAACGGAAAAGGAACACUGUGGCCUGUGCUGGUCCUCUCUCAGGGGCCACUCAUCCUGGCUUGCCUCCCAUUAGUUGAUAUCCUCUCAGAGCCGCGGCCACCUCUUGCCAACCUGCUGUCUGUGUCACAGGGGGUCACACUUCUAGCUGGCCUCCAGACCUUUCUCCUAGGCUCAGGGGUUAAGCUUGAUAGUGCAGGACUGGCCUCUCGUGUGGCAACGCUGCCAUCUCUACUCUUGCAGGUUUGCCCUCUUGGCACACCCCUUGAUACACCACUGGCGGGAACACCUACUGCAUCCACGGUGCCCACAUCCACUGUCACCCAGAAGCAGCCAGCCUGGAAGACGGGCGUAUAUCGCGGUCGAGCCACGGUGAAUGUAGCAGUGGUUGAAACAGUACGCUCCAUGCAGUAUGGGAACCAGAGCAGACAGGACCUGUGGGAUGUUUAUGGGACUGUGACCUGCAAAUGUGAAGUAGAGGGAGCGCUACCAAACGUCACUGUGACCCUCUCACUGCCACCCAAUGGUUCUCCACUGCAGGACAUCCUGGUCCAUCCCUGUGUAACCUCGCUGGAUUCCAGUAUCCUGACCGCCAGCAGUGUUGAUAAUGCAGAUGGCUCAGCUUUUUCUGGGCCCUACAAGUUUCCCUUCUCCCCUCCUCUGGAGCCAUUUAGACUUUGCAGCUACACCUCACAGGUCCCUGUUCCCCCCAUCCUUGGCUCAUAUCAGCUGAAGGAAGAAGAGAAUAACCUUCGUGUGAGUGUAUCCCUCAAACUCCAUGAGUCUGUGAGGAACAGUUUUGAGUACUGUGAAGCACACCUGCCGUUCUUCAACAGAAAUCAAAUGGGUGUAGUAGAUGUGAAGGUGAGCUCUGGACAAGUAGACGUUUCAAAGGAGAAGAAUCUGCUGGUCUGGGGUCUGGGGCAAAAGUUUCCAAAGUCUCGUGAGGUUACGUUUGAUGGCAAAAUAAGUUUUACUGGAUCCUCCAAUGGACCUUCUGACCCUCUCUGCACAGGACUUACAGCCUACAUUAAGUUGUACUUAAAGGUGCCAGACACGACUCUGUCCGGAUGUUGUGUGGAUCAGCAUUCAGUGCAAGUUUAUUCAUCUGCCAAACCAAGGAUUGUCACAUCCCGAGAACUUCAAUCCAAAGAGUACUUCAUCUGGAAUUCAACAGGUUCUGCCCCCGUGUCUUCUGGUCAGGUGAUGAUGUAGCAUGGAUCCACCAUGGGAAGCAUCCAGGAAAGGGGGACAGUGUGCUGCGCAUUGAUGAGACUGAGAACCCAGCCAGCUUAGACUUACACAAGGGCUAUCCCUUGCUCUGACAGUCCCACUUGGGUGACUCCAUCAGCCGUAUAAUUAGCAGCUGGGGCCUUGUCGUCAGCUGCUGUAGGCCUGGAGAAGAGGACUGCUCGAUGUGAAAGCCCAAGCUGCCCUGACCAGUGACUGGGCUUCAAAAGGCUGGCAGGACCCCUUACCCAUACCAAUCACUCCUCCCCCCACCCCUCCACAUCUCUUUUGACCCCUCAUCCUUGGCCUGUCAACUAGUGCCUCAUUUAAACACACAACCUCUCCAAGUAGGCUGAUUGAGCGCUGACCCUUUGACCCUCUGAGACUUAAAAGCAGCCGGUCUCUUUCAGUGGACAGGACCUGCCUAAUUGGUGAAAAAGUCACAAGGAUGGUAAUUGCUGAGUGGGCCCUUGAGGUUGAAGAGGGUAUUUAAUGCUCAACUUCAAGCAUGUGACUUGACCUUUGUUUAUUUAACAGUCAUUAAAGAAACAUUGCAUUUUAUUUUAUAAGGUUACAAAAAUCAGAGCACCUUUACUCACUGUCUUGCUUCCAGGACUAUGCAAAUUUACUCUGAUAUUUCUGCUACAAAGGUUAUAUCUCAGUGUAUUAAGUGGAAUGAAAAACUGGAAGAUGAAGGGUUAAAUUUCCCACAUUUCCACAGCAGCCAGACUCCGCUGAGUGGCCUCAUUGUCUGCUGUUGGCCUCUUGUGGCCCUAGCUGGUCCAAAUGCUACAUUCUCACGUGGAUUUCAACUCAGAAGGCCGACCAUGACCAAUCUUCUGUCAAUUGGAACCAAUUGCUCACAUGGCGUCCUUCACCUUCUUUUUAUGUAGCGGUACGGAGUGGCAGACACCGAGACCUCAUGUGUCUUCCCCCUCCACGACAAUUUGGCUUUAAGGUUCAGUGUGUGCGGUUGGCGAAGUGGAAAAAGAGACAGUCUUUCUUCUUUCUUUUUGUUAAGAGUUGGGCCACUUUAAAUCUCCUCAGCGUCGCACUAUGUGGUCCGUCUGGCUCCUUGAGUCUACAUGCGGCAGCCUCUUGCUGGCAGACUUUGCUUUAUUGAUUCAAGAUUUCUUUAAUGUGGCCCUCAGUCCUGCCUUCGAUCCAGCAGGACCUUUGGGCUGUUAAUUGCAAUGUCUUUCAUAUCAUCCAUUUGUUUUGUGUUUCUGAAAAGGCAUAAAAAGAUUUUCACUAUUAUUGUCAGUCGAUAUCAAUUAGGUCAAAGUAAACCUGAGAGCAAAGUUGAAUUGUGGUGGUUAGUUAUUAAAACAUGAAACAAUAUGUGUCAUAUCAUGCUUAAAUGUUUUCCAUGUCAAAGCAUUUGUUACACUGCAACUGUUAAACCCUUGAUGUUUUUUUUUCUGUAUUUCUGCAGUACCUUAGCAAAGUGUUCCUUCAUUUUUCACAUGUCGCAUUACAACCACAAGCUUCAGUGUAUUAAAUGCAUAAUUGUCAAGUGGAAAGAAAACGAUGCUCUUUAAUUUCUUUUAUGUAUCAAUUUUUCUUCUUUUUUUAAAAUAAAAAAAGGGUAAAUAGUC